UACAGAGGGGGCAAGCGUUGUCCGGACUUACUGGGCGUAAAGGGCUCGUAGGCGGUCUGUUGCGUCGGGAGUGAAAACUCAGGGCUUAACCCUGAGCCUGCUUCCGAUACGGGCAGACUAGAGGUAUGCAGGGGAGAACGGAAUUCCUGGUGUAGCGGUGAAAUGCGCAGAUAUCAGGAGGAACACCGGUGGCGAAGGCGGUUCUCUGGGCAUUACCUGACGCUGAGGAGCGAAAGUGUGGGGAGCGAACAGG
rnacentral:rRNA from 1 species